rnacentral:tRNA from 11 species
CCCGAGAGGUCCAAGGGGGGUGACUUAAGAUCACUUGUGCUUUACUCGUGGGUUCGAACCCCACUUCA